rnacentral:rRNA from 1 species
UACGGAGGGUGCAAGCGUUAUCCGGAUUCACUGGGCUUAAAGGGGGCGUAGGCGGGCAGGUAAGUCCGUGGUGAAAUCUCUGAGCUUAACUCAGAAACUGCCAUGGAUACUAUUUGUCUUGAAUAUUGUGGAGGUAAGCGGAAUAUGUCAUGUAGCGGUGAAAUGCUUAGAUAUGACAUAGAACACCAAUUGCGAAGGCAGCUUACUAGACAGUUAUUGACGCUGAGGCACGAAAGCGUGGGGAUCAAACAGG